GAUGAACGCUGGCGGCGUGCUUAACACAUGCAAGUCGAACGGAAAGGCCAGUGCUUGCACUGGUACUCGAGUGGCGAACGGGUGAGUAACACGUGGGUGAUCUGCCCUGCACUUCGGGAUAAGCCUGGGAAACUGGGUCUAAUACCGGAUAGGACAAUGGGUUGGAUGCCGUUGUGGAAAGUUUUUUCGGUGUGGGAUGAGCUCGCGGCCUAUCAGCUUGUUGGUGGGGUAAUGGCCUACCAAGGCGUCGCCGGGUAGCCGGCAUGAGAGGGUGUACGGCCACAUUAGGACUGAGAUACGGCCCAGACUCCGACGGGAGGCAGCAGGGGGGAAUAUUGCACAAUGGGCGCAAGCCUGAUGCAGCGACGCCGCGUGGGGGAUGACGGCCUUCGGGUUGUAAACUCCUUUCGCUAGGGACGAAGCGUAUUUGUGACGGUACCUGGAGAAGAAGCACCGGCUAACUACGUG
rnacentral:rRNA from 1 species